rnacentral:rRNA from 1 species
CCUACGGGAGGCAGCAGUAAGGAAUAUUGGACAAUGGGGGCAACCCUGAUCCAGCCAUGCCGCGUGAAGGAUGAAGGCGCUCUGCGUCGUAAACUUCUUUUAACCGAGAAAAAUUGUUGGGUUUCUACCCGACUUGAUUGUACCGGGAGAAUAAGGACCGGCUAACUUCGUGCCAGCAGCCGCGGUAAUACGAAGGGUCCAAGCGUUAUCCGGAUUUAUUGGGUUUAAAGGGUGCGUAGGCGGGUUGUUAAGUCAGUGGUGAAAUCUUGCAGCUUAACUGUAAAAUUGCCAUUGAUACUGACGAUCUUGAGUACAUUUGAAGUGGGCGGAAUAUGUCAUGUAGAGGUGAAAUUCUUAGAGAUGACAUAGAACACCGAUUGCGAAGGCAGCUCACUAAACUGUAACUGACGCUGAGGCACGAAAGCGUGGGGAUCAAACAGGAUUAGAUACCCUGGUANUC